rnacentral:snRNA from 1 species
AUCGCUUCUCGGCCUUUUGGCUAAGAUCAAGUGUAGUAUCUGUUCUUAUCAGUUUAAUAUCCUUUUUUCAUUCAUGUUUUGAGGGUAAGUUUUUUAACUGCUGAGCUUUA